UAAAAUUACAAACUUAUAUUUUAUUCAGCUUUCACUUAUAAUCUUUAUAUGGUUUUGUGAACAUUCUUAUUAUGUUUGUAAUAUUAAUCAUUAUUAAAUACAUUUUACCUGCUAUUUGUCCUACUCAUAUUGAUUAUGUUUGCGCAGACAUAUAGUUUAUAAGUCAGGCGUUAUAACUGAAAUUUAUAUCGUUUCACACAUAAUCUUAAGUAUUUUCGGUGCAGUGUGAGAUGACGCUCUGAGGUGAAAGCAGGUUCAUCUUUCGUAUUUUCAGCAGCUCCUAAGGCGAAAAUGUAUAGCUGCAAGCAUUGUAGGAAUCAACCUCCAGAUGAACUGUUUUUAUGAGCAAAAUGUACCAGAAAUGCCGACGAUUGUGAUCCGGUUCGGAUUAGUUCUUUAAACGUUUACCACCAUUUUGGAUGUGACCAUCUGCAGAAGCUAUAUAUAGUUACAAAAUCCGAUUUUCCGCGCGUAUUUGUAAAGCGCUUCAAAUGCUCUGACAAGAUAAAAAAAAUUACAGGAGAUGCCGAGAAAAAGGAUGGAAACGACGUCAACACUCGCCGGUAUUCCCACCGUCAUCUGCCGUACGAAGUGUGCAAGUGUUCCUUAGCCGGAACAACACCUACGGGAACGAAUUCGGUGGUGGUGAUCUAGUUGCAGUUGGGGACAUCGUUGCAUAUUUUAAACUCAAUUGAUUAACAAUAACAACAAGUACGGUAAAUUUGAAUAAAUAAAUGA